GUUUCUGCAUCACCUGCACGUUGCGUUUUAAGCAUCUGAGGAAGCAGAAGUGAAGCUGAGCAUCUCCAUCCCUCUGGAAGACCAGGUGUCUGGAGCAGCCUGGCUGGGUGGCUGACAGCCCCUGAGGAGUAAAGCCCUCAUCCCAUCCCUCUAGUGACUGACUUCUCGGCCCUCCCGUGUCCUAGCAUGGAAACUGUUCCAAGAACAUCAUGACAGAUGCUGCAUUGCCACAUCCCUUAGGAGAGACCAUGUGAACGUGCA